GAUGGAGGAAUCAAUGUUUGAGUGAAGAGGUGAUUGAGGUCGAGGAGAGAAAAGAGGGUGGGAGAGAAGGAGAAAGAGAAUGUGUGAAGGAAAGAAGAGGAUGAGGAGGAGGAUGAGCAGAGAAGCCAAGGCCUUUGGGCAAAGCCAAGACCGCCUACAGAUGAUCUCUCCUCCACUCCCUCUCCCUCUCUCUCUCUCUCUUUUUCUUUCUCUCCCUUCACACAGCUUCUUGUCCUCUCUUUCAUCUGCAACCUUUCUGUAUCCCUUUCACCUCCAUUUCUCCCUCUGAUCUCACUUUCUCUUCUUUGUAUUUCUCUUUUUUCUCCUCCUCCUCCUCCUCCAUCUCCUCCUCCCUCAUAGGA